GCACUGAAAUCAUGGCUGCUGCAUGCUGGUGAGUGAACUGAACUUAGUGAACAUGAGCAGCAUUGUGGAUCGGGACUAAUCAGAAUUGUAAUCCUGUAUAUUGAAGUGUUGUAUAAAUCACCAUAAUCGUAAACAAUGGAGGUUAUUUGUUUUAUCAAAAUUAAGUUUGGAAAUAUGUUGGAGGUUAACAGGUUAAACCUUGUUCCGGGUAGCAUAUACAUAUUAAUAUUUUACUUCAACAGUUCAAUACUUGUAUCUAUGAAUACAUAGCAAAUUGCAAAUUUAGUGUAAUUUCAAUUAGUGAGAGAGUGCAGGACUUUGUCGCAAAAAUCAAUCCUCUGCUGUCAUAGUAAAGCUGAAUGGUCAGAUAUUUUAUCAGUAUUAUAGUCUGUAUAUGUAUGGGCAGUGAUGGUUCUGUCACUUCUGCAUAAUUUCAAGGUACGUGGUGGGUACAGUAAUUUUGUGGCGGUGUAUGGCUGGCAUCAGUCCCUAAACUACCUUGUAGAAGUAUGUUAGUCUAAUGUUACAGCAUCUGUCUUGAAGUGUUGGUUGUUUGAAAUCUCUGAAUAUUGCACUGAUACAUUCUGCUACUCGGUUGGUAUGGUCAGAGAGAUAACUCUUGCUCCGAUGAUUUGGACUCUCUCAAUGUUGCUGAUGUCCUUAGUGUAGUAAGGAUCCCAUACAAAAGAUACGUACUCUAAGAUAGGUCAUAUAAAUGAGAUAUAGGUAUUUCGUCGGCUUCCUUUGGGGCAGUUUUGUAGAUUUCUUCACAGAUAUAGCCUAGGUUUGAAUCAGCCUUCUUGGUGAUGUUAGAAAUUUGUGUUCCCCGCUUUAGCUCUUCAGAUGGUAAUUCCUAAGUACAGGUUUGAUGGAACUUGUUGGAGGAUGGAUGAAUGUAUUUUAUUUGGUCCUGCCAUUGUGCAUAAUUUUUUUGUAAUAAACAGAGCCUUUAACGAUAUGAGAUUUGUAACAUCUGCUCCAACCCCUCAAUUGUCCCCCCUUCCUCACUUGACAGUGUGUUUGACCCCCAUUCUAUAGUCAAACAUGCAUACAUAUAGUAAAGUGUAGAUAUUUUUAUCCACCAAACAGUUGAACUUUUUUAUAAGUUUAAACAUAACAUAUUGUUAUAAUGUUUUAAUUUUUAAUUCCAAUCUUGUGUUUCUGAUUAUACUAGUUGAAUACCCGCACAAGCACGAGAAAUCACACUUUACACAUAAAUAAUGACAGUGUAAGAGAAAAUAAAACUAAUUAAUGCAGUAUUGAGCUAUUUCACCAUGGAUUGAACAAUAUUGACCAAGCAUCGAACAACUAUGCAGUAAAAGUUUAGAAUAAAAAGAAUUUCUUAUCUUAUGAAAAUAAAUCACAGAUCCAAAGAAUUAAAAAUAUUAAUUUAACAUAUAUAUCUAUGUCCAUGUAAAUUCUUCAAUUAACAAUUGGAACUUCCGUGUUAAGGGUUAUUGAUCAGUAAGGGGUUCUUUAUCGUGCCAGCACCUACCGUAGCAUGGGACUUUAGUUUUUAAAUGCAUUAUCAAAGAGACCCACAAUUUGAGCGCUUGGAGUAGUACUGUAUCUGUUGCUUUGUUUAUUUUUAAAAGUUUAUUUUACUAAUAGAUGUAUUUGAAGUUAUAAAUAUGAAUAAAAGAAAAAAAACGUGCAUUAAAAAUGUUCUUUUCAUGGUGAAUUUGUGUCUGGUCCAUGGUGAAAUGAAUAUUAUACGAAACUCUGUUUAGCUACCCGAACAUCUGGAAAUUUCCUUUAAAACUAAAAUUGUGGAUAGAAGAUACAAAUUCGCGCAUUUUAUAGAUUUAACAAUUAUCGCAUCCUAAUUCGCCCAAUCCUAUGCAUACUUUAAAUCAAUUUCCUAUUAACAUAUUCACUAUUAACAGAUUUAUGUAAUAUAUUACUAUAUGUUGUCAUCUCCAAAUGACUUAGAUCCGCCAAAGCGUGUCCACCACUUUACUCUCAUUUUUGCUAUUUCGGGGUAGUUUAUCGAAAAUGAAAGUAGGUUUUCAAUUAAUUUCACAAUAAUUGCUGAUCAGGUAGAAUUCAAUUAUAGUUUAUAGGGACAUCAUCUCAUAUGUGGUUGAAAUUUUAAAGGUGCAAGCAAUAGCUCAUUUGCAAGCAUUUCUUAGUUUAUUGGCAAAAUUUAUUCAUGUAUAAGUAUAGAUAUCUGCUAUCUUAUAAUUGGUCGACUACAAAUGAAAACAUUUCAAUUGAGAGCGAAAGUUUCGGUUAUGUGGGGAUCUUCAACAAAUUAUCUUAGUUUCUUGUUUCAUGUUCUAUAUCAUAUGCAUAGUAGUUUAUCAGGCUCAGCUCUAGCUGAUACACAUGUCAUGGACAAGGUGAGACAGCAUCUGGAACCUAGGGCUGCCUUGUGCUCAGAGCCAAGAUAUCUCUAUCCAGGCCCAUCGUCAAGGAGCUAUCUCGCCCUUAAAUAUGAAAUCAUAAAUUUUCCAAUUAAUUUUGUAUGUAUUAAAAUACAUUUAUGAAUUAACAAUGCGAUAAUCAAUAAAUAUUUUUUCGUAAAUAAUACAAAAUAGUAAUAUUUAGUCUAAUACCUCCUCUUUUCGCCAAUCCCAGUAAAGUUAAAUGUAUUAUGUAAUUCCCUGUUCCCAUUUGUUAUAAAAGGGAAGGAAAUGGGCCAGUCCUUUGUGAAGUUCAAAACAGGUUCAUUGUGAACAGGUUUGGCACAUAAAAGAAUCCCCACUGCUUAAAGGCCAUAAGUGCCUAAGAAGGGGUCUAAAUCCCUGACAUUUGACAAUAUGUGUAUCAAUAGGAGUGAGAUAUUAUUGAGUGGGAUGUGCAGCGGUACUCGCACAAUUAUUUUCUACUAGCCUUUCUUAACAUUUCAUGCUUCUAGUUGAAAACCAUACUUCAAUUUUGAGUAAUUAUACUUCUUUCAGAAGAUGAAUCAUGAUGAUCCCUUUGAUCUCAAAAAGCCAAAGAAAUCAGAGAAAAAGGUAUGAAACAGUGUGUUUAGUUUUCUGUAUAGUGUUUUAUGUGUAGUAGAUGGCCUGAGACAUAAUUGUACUCGUAUUUAGAUAUCCUGAAAGCUUUAUAGGAUUUUACAUAAUAACUAUGCAUAUUGCCAAAUAUUUGACAUAUGUCAUUGUUAAUAAUCUGAUCAGAAAUCUAGUUGUAACUUUUUCCAUAAAGCAAUCUUCAUUUUGUGUGACUAUUUUAGGCUAUAAAAGUAAUCUAUUGUUAUAUCUGUUAAUAUGUUGAACAUGUACAUUCAUUAUUUUAUACUUUGAAAUUAACUUGGCAAUGUAUGUUUAUAGCAUAGUAAAAUCACAAGGAUGGUCAAGAAGAUCAUUUUUGCAUUCAAAGAGUUACUUACAAACUUGAGUGAUGCAUUCUAUGUUGCCUUUUUUUUUUUUUUUUUUUUUUUUUUUUUUUUUUUUUUUUAUAGAUCUCUGUACUUUUUUCAGAUGUAAUGCUAGUAUAGACUUAUAAAUUUUACCUUGUUUCUUCUGAAAAUUUUCAUUGAAACUAUUCAAACAUUAUACACUCAGGUAUGUGGUUUCUUAAUGCUUGUCAAUUAUCUCAUAUGGAGAUGUCACCAAGACCAGUGAAGGGCUUCAAAUUCAGGCCUUUGCUCAGCCAUUAAACAGUGAGGGUUCUUUAGCAUGCCACACCCACUGUGACAAUGGAUAUCUGUUUUUAAAGUCAUCUCUGAGGACCUGUGACAUUCACACCUGAUACCAAGCGUUUGGCUAUGGAACUGUCACUACCUGUUUUAAUGACUUAGGUUUGUCGCGGCCAGGAUUCUAACCCCGACCUUCCACAUGCGAGGCGAAUGCUAUAACCUCUAGGCCACCGUGGCAGUUUGUGUUUUGAUACUACCUGAAUGUCACUACAAUGUUUCGUAUAAGAAUCUAUGUGUAUACUGAUAUGUGUGUCUUAGAAAGAGUGGAAAAAGGAGGUAAACAUCAGGAUUCACCUGAAUUUCAAAUUAAAGUACUCUUUUACUUUCAGGGAAAAUGUCCUAGCAUGAUGAGAAAAUAGCGAACAGUGCUAUUGCCUCACAUAGAGAAACCAGGAAAAUGUCCAAGCAUGAUGAGAAAAUAGGGAACAGUGCCAUUGUCUCACUUAGAGAAGCCAGUGAGGAGACUGAUGCAUUUUCAGGGAAAAUGUCCAAGCAUGAUGAGAAAAUAGGGAACAGUUCCAUUGUCUCACUUAGAGAAGCCAGUGAGGAGAAUGAUGCAUUUUCAGGGAAAAUGUUCAAGCAUGAUGAGAAACUGCGCCAUUGUUUCACUUACAGAAGCCAAUGUUGAGGAUGAUGCAUGUUCAGGGAAAUGUCUAAGCAAGGGACAGGAUAUUGCAGUCAAUGACUGUGAUUCAUCUUAUAAUGCAAAAGUUGGAGAUACGCUCCUGCAGUGAAGGACCCUGAUUAUGAACCAGACCACUGCUCAGACAGUGAUUCAGACUCAAAUUGAAGAAAACCAAGAUGAUCUUCCUGACAGUUUUAGGAAAGUGACCUCAUGAUAGAAGUUUCAGAAUGUCCUACCAUUGAUCCUGGAAGUGAAAAAGUAUCUGAUAGUGAAGAAAGCUACGGUAGCAUAGAGAGUGAAAACUAUCCCAUGCUCUCUGGAAAGAAAGAAAAAGACAUUUCUUUUUAAGCCAUAAGGUGUUCCCAAAAAUUCAAUUGGAAACUUUAACAAACUGCAUGCCUGCUUUUUUGUGAUAAGAUGAUUGCUAACAUUGCAAGACAUCUUGAACUAGCACACAAAGCAGAAAUUGAAGUAGCUAGGGUUUUAGCUUUCCUCCCAAAAAGUAAAGAAAGGGGAUAAAUGAGGGAGGAACUUCAAAGUAUUAAUGUGUGUAUUAUGUAUAAAUUUAUUUGAUGUAAUCACUAGUAAAACCGAUUUUGCUUAAUAUACAUUAUUUUCUAUGCACUGCAUAAUUAUGUAGAUGCAAUAACUGGGACUUAACAUUUGAAAAGAAGUUGUUUGUGAUUCUUUGCAAUUGUACGAUGAACCUGUAAGUUACAUCAUUAAAUAUAAUGCUAGAUUCAA